CCAAUAGCGUAUAUUAAAGUUGUUGCAGUUAAAAAGCUCGUAGUUGAAUUUCGGGAUCAAUACGUCGGUCGUGCUUCGGUACGUACUAACGAUAUUGAUUUCUACCUUCUGACGAACCGUGAUGUCAUUAAUUUGGUGUUACGGGGAGUCAGGACUGUUACUUUGAAAAAAUUAGAGUGUUUAAAGCAAGCAAUCGCUCGAAUACAUUAGCAUGGAAUAAUGAAAUAGGACGUUCGAACCUAUUUUGUUGGUUUCUAGGAUCGACGUAAUGAUUAAUAGGGAUAGUUGGGGGCAUUAGUAUUCAAUUGUCAGAGGUGAAAUUCUUGGAUUUAUUGAAGACUAACUACUGCGAAAGCAUUUGCCAAGGAUGUUUUCAUUAAUCAAGAACGAAAGUUAGGGGAUCGAAGACGAUCAGAUACCGUCGUAGUCUUAACCAUAAACUAUGCCGACUAGGGAUCGGAUGAUGUUAAUUUUUUAAUGACUCAUUCGGUGCCUUACG
rnacentral:rRNA from 1 species